rnacentral:rRNA from 1 species
CACGUAGGCGGCUUUGUAAGUUAGAGGUGAAAGCCUGGAGCUCAACUCCAGAAUUGCCUUUAAGACUGCAUCGCUUGAAUCCAGGAGAGGUGAGUGGAAUUCCGAGUGUAGAGGUGAAAUUCGUAGAUAUUCGGAAGAACACCAGUGGCGAAGGCGGCUCACUGGACUGGUAUUGACGCUGAGGUGCGAAAGCGUGGGGAGCAAACA